CCCUCCUACAAAGGUGUGUCUUUUUCUCGUCUUUGUACCUAUAAGAACUGGAGGUAAAGAAAUGAGAUUUGGAGACAUCUAGGGUCAGCUUGCUCCUUGCAGACUCAAGAUCAACUGUUCCACAUAA
ensembl:snoRNA small nucleolar RNA SNORA38